rnacentral:lncRNA from 1 species
ACAUUUUGCCUCUUCUGUGGCUGACUGCUUGAGAAUCCUGAUCCAGGGGUUUAUUCAGACUAUGUUGAACAGAAGCGUUCUGCAUCUUCAGGCUGGAUGUACCCUGCAGACAUCCCUGUCAAGGAGUCCCCACCCCCUAUGUCAGGGGGGCUGAAACUUCAGCUCUCUGGAGGAAACAUUGCAGACGAUGAAGAGGAAAAACAGCUGAAGGAGCAGCUCUGGUAAAUAGGCAGAAUCUUCUGCCUUUUGGAAAAUGCGUUUACCACACUCCUUGGCAAGCCCUUCAGAAGGAGCA